rnacentral:rRNA from 1 species
GCACAACAACGGGUGGAGCCUGCGGUUUAAUUGGACUCAACGCCGGACAACUCACCGGGGGCGACAGCAAUAUGUAGGUCAGGCUGAAGACCUUGCCUGAAUCGCUGAGAGGAGGUGCAUGGCCGUCGCCAGUUCGUACUGUGAAGCAUCCUGUUAAGUCAGGCAACGAGCGAGACCCGUGCCCACUGUUACCAGCAUGUCCUCUGGGACGAUGGGUACUCUGUGGGGACCGCCGGUGUUAAAUCGGAGGAAGGUGCGGGCCACGGUAGGUCAGUAUGCCCCGAAUCUCCCGGGCUACACGCGGGCUACAAUGGAUGGGACAAUGGGUUCCGACACCGAAAGGUGAAGGCAAUCUCUUAAACCCAUUCUUAGUUCGGAUUGAGGGCUGAAACUCGCCCUCAUGAAGCUGGAAUCCGUAGUAAUCGCGUUUCAACAUAGCGCGGUGAAUACGUUCCUGCUUCUUGCACACACCGCCCGUCAAACCACCCGAGUGGGGUUUAUGUGAAGGCGUGGUUUUUUGCCACGUUCGAACAUAGGUUCCGCAAGGGGGGUU